UACGGAGGGUGCAAGCGUUAAUCGGAAUUACUGGGCGUAAAGCGUGCGCAGGCGGUUUGUUAAGUCCGCUGUGAAAUCCCCGAGCUCAACUUGGGAAUUGCAGUGGAUACUGGCAAGCUGGAGUAUGGUAGAGGAAGGUGGAAUUCCCGGUGUAGCAGUGAAAUGCGUAGAGAUCGGGAGGAACACCAGUGGCGAAGGCGGCCUUCUGGACCAGCAUUGACACUCAAGCACGAAAGCGUGGGGAGCAAACAGG
rnacentral:rRNA from 1 species